UAGGGUGGGACUGCGGUCUAUCAGCUUGUUGGUGAGGUAAUGGCCCACCAAGGCUAUAACAGAUACGGGCUCUGAGAGGAGGGGCCCGGAGAUGGGUACUGAGACACGGACCCAGGUCCUAUGGGGCGCAGCAGGCGAGAAACCUUUGCAAUGUGCGAAAGCACGACAAGGUUAAUCCGAGUGAUUUCUGUUAAAGGAAUCUUUUGUUAGUCAUAAAACCACUGAUGAAUAAGGGGUGGGCAAGUUCUGGUGUCAGCCGCCGCGGUAAUACCAGCACCUCGAGUGGUCAGGAGGUUUAUUGGGCCUAAAGCAUCCGUAGCCCGCUGUUCAAGUUUCCGGUUAAAUCCACACGCUUAACGUAUGGGCUGCCGGAAAUACUGUUCAGAUAGGGAGUGGGAGAGGUAGACGGUACUCGAUAGGAAGGGGUAAAAUCCUUUGAUCUAUUGAUGACCACCUGUGGCGAAGGCGGUCUACCAGAACACGUUCGACGGUGAGGGAUGAAAGCUGGGGGAGCAAACCGGAUUAGAUACCCGGGUAGUCCCAGCUGUAAACGAUGCAGACUCGGUGAUGCAUUGGCUUGUGGCCAGUGCAGUGCCGCAGGGAAGCCGUUAAGUUUGCCGCCUGGGAAGUACGUACGCAAGUAUGAAACUUAAAGGAAUUGGCGGGGGAGCACCACAAGGGGUGAAGCCUGCGGUUC
rnacentral:rRNA from 1 species